GGCGGCAUGCUUUACACAUGCAAGUCGAACGGGCCGGGGGCAACUCCGGUCAGUGGCGAACGGGUGAGUAAUACAUCGGAACGUACCUCGUAGUGGGGGAUAACUCGGCGAAAGCCGUGCUAAUACCGCAUAUGCUCUACGGAGGAAAGCAGGGGACCGCAAGGCCUUGUGCUAUGGGAGCGGCCGAUGUCCGAUUAGCUAGUUGGUGGGGUAAUGGCCUACCAAGGCGACGAUCGGUAGCUGGUCUGAGAGGAUGAUCAGCCACACUGGGACUGAGACACGGCCCAGACUCCUACGGGAGGCAGCAGUGGGGAAUUUUGGACAAUGGGGGCAACCCUGAUCCAGCCAUGCCGCGUGCGGGAAGAAGGCCUUCGGGUUGUAAACCGCUUUUGGUCGGGAAGAAAAGGCAGCCGUGAAUAGCGGCUGUUCUUGACGGUACUGACAGAAUAAGCACCGGCUAACUACGUGCCAGCAGCCGCGGUAAUACGUAGGGUGCGAGCGUUAAUCGGAAUUACUGGGCGUAAAGCGUGCGCAGGCGGUUCGUUGUGUCCGAUGUGAAAGCCCCGAGCUCAACUUGGGAAUGGCA
rnacentral:rRNA from 1 species